ACGUGCGUCGUAGUUUGACCUUUACGUGCGUCUUAGUUUGACCUUUACGUGCGUCUUAGUUUAACCUUCUCGUGCGU
ensembl:miRNA